rnacentral:lncRNA from 1 species
UUUCGAAAUAGCAAAUUUCAACUACAUAUUCCAACUACUCUUUUCUUUUUUUUUUCUUUCGGAUAAAUAUAAAUAAAGUAGGAUUGGCCCGAUAAUUAUAUCUAUAUCUACAUUAAUCCAUAUUCAAAUUCAAUUCAAUUAUAAAUGUAUCAUAUACAAUAUUAUAUACAAGAAAAAAAAAUAGGGUAACCCCUUUUCCUUUCCUGGACCAUUUAUUUAGUAAAGUUAAAGUAAGGUCAUGAAAUAGUUAAAGUUAUUUAUUUUGUAUUUUAUACAUAAUGGAUUUA